CAUCAUAACCGAGCAAGGUCACGAGUGCGUCCCCUGCUUACUACUAUACCUCCGACCUCUGCUCUGCUUUGCCUCACCCGGGCCGAGACCCGAGAGCGUUCACUGCGUGGACCCGGCGCCCUUCGGCCAUGGCGACGGCCGCAGCGGGCACGGCGGACUGCCGGCGCCGCGCGACGCUGGCCGGGGCGCUGUCGAGGACGAGCGCCGCCUUCCUCUUCCUCUCCGUCGCCGCCGUCGCGGCGGUCGUGUCGGCUCGCUGGAUCACCGCCACCACCGCUGGACGCCUGACGCGCCUCCCCACCACCGCGGCCAUUCCCGCCGCCGCGCUCCACCCGGAAGCAGAGCACCCGCAGCCCCUGCGGCCGUCAGCAGCAGCGCCGCCGCCGCCUCCCCAUUCCCGGCCACCACCUCCCGCCCUCUACUCCAUCUCCUGCCCUGCCCCCGCCCCCAACCUCUCACACUCCCACCCCACCGAACCGCCCAAAACCUCCCAAACCCUCGCGCGCGCUCUCUCCUCGCCCUCCACCUGCCCCUCCUCCUCCCCCGGCCCGCCGCCGCCCGCCUCGCCGUCCUCCAACCGCUCGUGCCCGUCCUACUUCCGCUUCAUCCACGAGGACCUCCGCCCAUGGCGCGCGGCGGGCGGGGUCACGCGCGCCAUGCUCGCCCGCGCCCGCCUCACCGCCACGUUCCGCCUCGUCGUGCUCGGGGGCCGAGCCUACAUCCAGCGGCUCCGCCCGGCGUUCCAGACGCGGGACCUCUUCACCAUCUGGGGCGUCCUCCAGCUGCUCCGCCGCUACCCCGGCCGCGUCCCCGACCUCGACCUCAUGUUCGACACCGUCGACUGGCCCGUCGUCCGCACCCACCUCUACCGCGGGAAGUACGCCGGGGUCAUGCCGCCGCUGUUCCGUUACUGCGGGGAUGACAGGACGCUGGACAUCGUCUUCCCGGAUUGGUCCUUCUGGGGGUGGCCGGAGAUCAACAUAAAGCCAUGGCAUGCCUUGCAGGAAGACUUGAAGGAUGGUAAUAACAGAGCGAGGUGGAUGGAUAGAGAACCUUAUGCUUACUGGAAAGGGAAUCCAUCAGUUUCGGCGACACGGCAGGAAUUGGUUAAGUGUAAUGUAUCCAGUACACAAGAUUGGAACGCAAGGAUUUACGCUCAGGACUGGUUCAAAGAGAGCAAGGCAGGGUAUAAGGACUCAGAUUUGGGUAGUCAAUGCUCACACAGGUACAAGAUCUAUAUUGAAGGAUCGGCAUGGUCAAUCAGUCAGAAAUAUAUAUUAGCAUGUGAUUCAAUGACACUGCUAGUUACACCAAAAUACUAUGAUUUCUUUUCAAGGUCACUAAUGCCGAUUCAGCAUUAUUGGCCUGUUCGGGAUGACAAUAAAUGUGCCUCCAUAAAAUAUGCUGUUGACUGGGGGAACUCUCACAAGCAAUUGGUACUUUACAUCUAUCUACAUGCAGUUAUCUACAUUUGCAGGCAACUAAGUUUUGCAGUUUUUAAACUUCAGAUAUGGAGGCAAAGUCAAUUUGAUUCAAUAGAAAUCCAGUUGAGCUGCAAUGUACAGCUAUUACUCAAGAUGUCUGAUCUUUCUGGGCUGUCUUUGUCUUCCGAAAGAGUUCCACACAAAUAAUUUCUGCCCAUAACAGUGCUCUGAGGAAUCAAUUUACUAUCAUGGCAUAACUUCGAGUUUUUGUUUCUUUGUUGAAAUGCAAAUAGCAUCAGAACUAACCAUAAUGUAAGAAGUGAAUGAUGGUAGAAUGUUCGGUAGAGCAAGCAGUGACUUGUUAACAUUUGAGCAUUGAAUCAAGAGCUUCAGCAUGGAAGUUGUCGUCCAAAAUUUGUAGCACUAUACUCAUCAUCUUAGGCACAGCGUAUAGGAAAGCAAGCAAGCAAUUUCAUUCAAGAAGAGCUCAGUAUGGACCAAGUUUAUGACUACAUGCUUCACCUUCUAACUGAAUAUGCCAAGCUUUUAAAGUUCAAACCAACUAAGCCACCUGAAGCUGUUGAGGUCUGCUCUGAGUCUUUGGCAUGCCAAGCUGAAGGCCUCGAGAAGAAGUUUCUUGUCGAUUCCAUGGUGAAGUCUGCCCAUGAUGCAGGUCCAUGCGAUCUGCCUCCUCCCUUCAGCUCUCGUGAGCUGAAGAUGCUAAAACAGAGGAGGGAAAAUUCAGUAAAGCAGAUUGAAAUGUGGGAGCAAAGAACUUUGAGGGCAUAGAUAGCAGGCUUCGUGCGCUGGAACCCUAGCUCUUUUUUUUCCCCCUCUUCCAAGCAUAGGCAUAGAUAAUGCUAACUGUUUGGGACUUACGGUCUAAUUCAGCUUCAUUGUAGUUCUAACAAAUACGAAUCAUUCACUGAAAUCUAUGUUAAGCAUCUGUAGAAAUUGAGCAAAUAUCAGCAUUUUCUUCAGUAGUUUUUUUUCUUCUUAAAGUGAUUUUAGUUACAAACAUUAUUUUUCUGUAUUUGUUUUUUGUUUGAAUUACUGUUUUGUAAAACCAUUGUAACUGUCACUGAUAAAUCCAAUAAGUAUUCAGAAAAUAUGAUUCUGGGUGCAUC